CGCAAAUGGAUUUGCUCGCCCUAUAUAUUUGAGGUCUUAUAUGAAUUUACAAACAAAAAAAAAAAAAUCUACAAAGCUUUGAGAAGGUUAAUGGUUUAUUUAUUUAUUUUAAAAGCCAAAAACUAAACUGAAAAGUGAAAACUACAUCCACUUAAGGUAUGUAGAUUAAUCUGUGAGCCAUGGCGCGAAGGUCAUGGCUUUGUGUAUGC